CGCACAGCUCAGUAGCACGUGGCUAACCUACCCUUGGGACGGGAGCACCCCCGGGAAACUGGGGCUAAUUUCCGAUAGGUGAAGACUCCUGGAAUGGAUUUUCGCCUAAAAGGCGCUUAGGGCAUGCUUCUAAGUGUUGCCCAAGGAUGGGGCCGCGGCCGAUCAGGUUGUUGGUGAGGUAAUGGCUCACCAAGCCUUUGACCGGUGCGGGCCGUGGGAGCGGGAGCCCGGAGAUGGACACUGAGACAAGGGUCCAGGCCCUACGGGGCGCAGCAGUCGCGAAAACUUCGCAAUAAGCGAAAGCUUGACGGGGCUAUCCCGAGUGCCAUCCGCUGAGGACGGCUUUUUCCUAGUAUAGAUAGCUGGGGGAAUAAGGAGAGGGCAAGUCUGGUGUCAGCCGCCGCGGUAAUACCAGCUCUCCGAGUAGUGGGGAUGAUUAUUGGGCCUAAAGCAUCCGUAGCCGGCUGGGUAAGUCCUCUGUUAAACCCAACGAUCUAAUCGUUGGUCUGCGGGGGAUACUGCUCGGCUAGGAGGCGAGAGAGGCCGUCGGUAUUCCCGGGGUAGGGGUGAAAUCCUAUAAUCCCGGGAGGACCACCAGUGGCGAAGGCUGUCGGCUAGAACGCGCUCGACGGUGAGGGAUGAAAGCUGGGGGAGCGAACC
rnacentral:rRNA from 1 species